ACCUGCGGAGGAUCAUUAUUGAAUAAGCUUGGUUGGGUUGUUGCUGGCUCUCUGGAGCAUGUGCACGCCUGACAACCAACCUUUUUACCACCUGUGCACCUUUUGUAGACCUGGAUAUCUCUCGAGGAAACUCGGUUUUUUGAGGAUUGCCGUGCGCAAGCUGGCUUUCCUUGCACUUCCGGUCUAUGUCUUUAUAUACCCCUACACAUGUUUUAGAAUGUCAUUAAUGGGCUUAACUGCCUUUAAAAAUCUAUACAACUUUCAACAACGGAUCUCUUGGCUCUCGCAUCGAUGAAGAACGCAGCGAAAUGCGAUAAGUAAUGUGAAUUGCAGAAUUCAGUGAAUCAUCGAAUCUUUGAACGCACCUUGCGCUCCUUGGUAUUCCGAGGAGCAUGCCUGUUUGAGUGUCAUGAAAUUCUCAACCUUUUCAGCAUUUAUGUUGAUCAGGCUUGGAUGUGGGAGUUUGCGGGCUUCUCAGAAGUCGGCUCUCCUUAAAUACAUUAGCGGGACCUUUGUUGCCCAGCUUUAGUGUGAUAAUUAUCUACGCUAUUGUUGAAAGCAGCUCUUAAUAGGGUACAGCUUCUAAUCGUCUCAUUGAGACAACUUCUGACAAUUGACCUCAAAUCAGG
rnacentral:rRNA from 1 species